CCUACGGGCGGCAGCAGUGGGGGAUAUUGCACAAUGGGGGGAACCCUGAUGCAGCGACGCCGCGUGGGUGAAGAAGCGCCUCGGCGCGUAAAGCCCUGUCAGCAGGGAAGAACAUGACGGUACCUGAAGAAGAAGCCCCGGCUAAAUACGUGCCAGCAGCCGCGGUAAUACGUAGGGGGCAAGCGUUGUCCGGAUUUACUGGGUGUAACGGGGGCGCAGACGGCGGUGCAAGCCAGGAGUGAAAGCCCGGGGCCCAACCCCGGGAGUGCUCUUGAAACUGCGUGGCUGGAGUGCAGGAGGGGAAGGCGGAAUUCCUGGUGGAGCGGUGAAAUGCGUAGAUAUCAGGAGGAACACCGGUGGCGAAGGCGGCUUGCUGGACUGUAACUGACGUUGAGGCCCGAAAGCGUGGGGAGCAAACAGGAUUAGAUACCCCUGUAGUC
rnacentral:rRNA from 1 species